rnacentral:rRNA from 1 species
UUCUUGGAGAGUUUGAUCCUGGCUCAGGACGAACGCUGGCGGCGUGCCUAAUACAUGCAAGUCGAGCGAAUCAAUAGGAGCUUGCUCCUGUUGGUUAGCGGCGGACGGGUGAGUAACACGUGGGCAACCUGCCUGUAAGACUGGGAUAACACCGGGAAACCGGUGCUAAUACCGGAUAAUCCUUUUCCUCUCAUGAGGAAAAGCUGAAAGUCGGUUUCGGCUGACACUUACAGAUGGGC